CCUACGGGAGGCAGCAGUGGGGAAUAUUGCACAAUGGGGGAAACCCUGAUGCAGCCAUGCCGCGUGUGUGAAGAAGGUCUUCGGAUUGUAAAGCACUUUAAGUUGGGAGGAAGGGCAGUAAGUUAAUACCUUGCUGUUUUGACGUUACCGACAGAAUAAGCACCGGCUAACUUCGUGCCAGCAGCCGCGGUAAUACGAAGGGUGCAAGCGUUAAUCGGAAUUACUGGGCGUAAAGCGCGCGUAGGUGGUUUGAUAAGUUGGAUGUGAAAGCCCCGGGCUCAACCUGGGAAUUGCAUCCAAAACUGUCUGACUAGAGUAUGGCAGAGGGUGGUGGAAUUUCCUGUGUAGCGGUGAAAUGCGUAGAUAUAGGAAGGAACACCAGUGGCGAAGGCGACCACCUGGGCUAAUACUGACACUGAGGUGCGAAAGCGUGGGGAGCAAACA
rnacentral:rRNA from 1 species